AACGAACGCUGGCGGCAUGCCUAACACAUGCAAGUCGAACGAGACCUUCGGGUCUAGUGGCGCACGGGUGCGUAACGCGUGGGAACCUGCCCUUAGGUUCGGAAUAACCCCCCGAAAGGGGUGCUAAUACCGGAUAAUGUCUUCGGACCAAAGAUUUAUCGCCUUUGGAUGGGCCCGCGUUGGAUUAGCUAGUUGGUAGGGUAAAAGCCUACCAAGGCGACGAUCCAUAGCUGGUCUGAGAGGAUGCUCAGCCACACUGGGACUGAGACACGGCCCAGACUCCUACGGGAGGCAGCAGUGGGGAAUAUUGGACCAUGGGCGAAAGCCUGCUCCAGCAAUGCCGCGUGAGUGAUGAAGGCCUUAGGGUUGUAAAGCUCUUUUACCCGGGAUGAUAAUGACAGUACCGGGAGAAUAAGCUCCGGCUAACUCCGUG
rnacentral:rRNA from 1 species